rnacentral:rRNA from 1 species
GAUGAACGCUGGCGGCGUGCCUAAUACAUGCAAGUCGAGCGAACAGACGAGGAGCUUGCUCCUCUGCCGUUAGCGGCGGACGGGUGAGUAACACGUGGAUAACCUACCUAUAAGACUGGGAUAACUUCGGGAACCCGGAGCUAAUACCGGAUAAUAUAUUGAACCGCAUGGUUCAAUAGUGAAAGACGGUUUUGCUGUCACUUAUAGAUGGAUCCGCGCCGCAUUAGCUAGUUGGUAAGGUAACGGCUUACCAAGGCAACGAUGCGUAGCCGACCUGAGAGGGUGAUCGGCCACACUGGAACUGAGACACGGUCCAGACUCCUACGGGAGGCAGCAGUAGGGAAUCUUCCGCAAUGGGCGAAAGCUUGACGGAGCAACGCCGCGUGAGUGAUGAAGGUCUUCGGAUCGUAAAACUCUGUUAUUAGGGAAGAACAAAUGUGUAAGUAACUAUGCACGUCUUGACGGUACCUAAUCAGAAAGCCACGGCUAACUACGUG